rnacentral:rRNA from 1 species
CCUACGGGGGGCUGCAGUAGGGAAUUUUCGGCAAUGGGGGAAACCCUGACCGAGCAACGCCGCGUGGGGGAAGAAGGCCUUCGGGUCGUAAACCUCUGUCUUUGGGGACGAUAAUGACGGUACCCGAGGAGGAAGCCCCGGCUAACUACGUGCCAGCAGCCGCGGUAAUACGUAGGGGGCGAGCGUUGUCCGGAAUCACUGGGCGUAAAGGGCGUGUAGGCGGCCUGUUAAGUCAGGCGUGAAAACCCCGGGCUUAACCUGGGGACUGCGCUUGAAACUGGCGGGCUUGAGGGCAGGAGAGGAAAGUGGAAUUCCCGGUGUAGCGGUGAUAUGCGUAGAUACCGGGAGGAACACCAGUGGCGAAGGCGGCUUUCUGGACUGCACCUGACGCUGAGGCGCGAAAGCCAGGGGAGCGAACGGGAUUAGAUACCCCUGUAGUC